rnacentral:lncRNA from 1 species
AUGGGGUAGGCCAUAAGCACAAAAUGCUGGAUUUUAGGGUUUUUAGCUCUUUUUCACUCCUUUUCUCGAUCGGGGCUCCGAUUAAAGUAAAAACCUGAAAACAAAGGAAAACACAGUAAUAACCUAACAAAAUGAUAAUAAAACAGCUAGAAUGCAUGUGAAAUCGGAGUCGAAAAUACGUAAAUUUUAGUGUGAUCACUGACUCCGAUAGUCAGGAACAUAUCUGAUUGCAGUCUUGUUUUGC